CUCCCCAUGUAGGAUCUCUGUCCUUAAUGUGUUGUACUUUGUGAAUUAACGGCAUAACUAGUACUCAAACAGUACUUUAUACUUUGUGUUUCUGUGUGGCUGCAAACUUGAAAUCUUUACUUAGUGUAUACUAAAUUGAUCUUCUGUAUAUAAAGAUAAUUGAAAAUGAAUCUUGAUGUGAAUGGGAUGGGAGAGGGCGUGGGAGAUGGGAUGGUUGCGGGUGGGAGGCAGGUUAUGGGGGGAAAUCCACUAUAAUCCAAAAGUUGUAGUUUGGAAAUUUAUAGUUACUAAAUAGAAGUUAAAAAAAGAAGAUGUGUCACUUCACAAGUAGACUGUUACCAGCAGAAAGUUCAUUUCUGCUAGUCUUCUCUGAUCCCCAUUCCCACUGAGUUCACUCCACUAGUUUUGUUUCACAUAGCUUAUAUGAAGUACUUCAUCUCUUCAAUCAUCUGCAUAGUUUUUUUGAGUACUUGGAUCAUAUUUGUCACCCAGUAUAAAUGAAAAUGGAGUUAGCAGAGUCUUCUUCUUUCCAUUAAUCUUAUUAACUUUCACUGAUAAACAAGAGAAUGAGGGAAAUUAUUAUCUUGUGCUGUGUUUUCAACUAAUUUUUGUUUUCCUGAUCAAACAGUUGGAUGAGUCCUCCACAAGAUUAAAAGGAAAAGACUCAUUUUCAGCAGAGACACUCUUCAGAUUCCCCAGGAAAGUGCAAUUGGAGCAAUACGUUUGGGAAUCUUUUCCAUGGAGCUAUGAAUUGCAGACCUAGCACGUCUUGGUGAAGACCUUAAGUGUAAGCGUGGUUUAAUUUCUGACAGGUGAAUAUCCUUGUGUUUUCUUUAUGAGUGAUUCUUCACUCCUGACAAGUUUCACUCUAAAUUCUGUCCAGUCUUAUAUUUGGUCCAAGAGAAAUUCCCUUGCUUAAUGAAUU
rnacentral:lncRNA from 1 species